UUGCAUAUAUGGCAGCACAUAUACUAAAGUUGGAAUGAUACAGAGAAGAUUAGCAUGGCCCCUGCACAUAGAUUACAUGCAAAUACAUGAAGCGCUCCAUAUUUUA